rnacentral:rRNA from 1 species
ACGAUGAACCAGGUGCUUGCAUCUGGGGAUUAGUGGCGAACGGGUGAGUAACACGUGAGCAACCUGCCCCUGACUCUGGGAUAAGCGCUGGAAACGGCGUCUAAUACUGGAUAUGUCCCGUCACCGCAUGGUGUGCGGGUGGAAAGAUUUUUCGGUUGGGGAUGGGCUCGCGGCCUAUCAGCUUGUUGGUGAGGUAAUGGCUCACCAAGGCGUCGACGGGUAGCCGGCCUGAGAGGGUGACCGGCCACACUGGGACUGAGACACGGCCCAGACUCCUACGGGAGGCAGCAGUGGGGAAUAUUGCACAAUGGGCGGAAGCCUGAUGCAGCAACGCCGCGUGAGGGAUGACGGCCUUCGGGUUGUAAACCUCUUUUAGCAGGGAAGAAGCGAAAGUGACGGUACCUGCAGAAAAAGCACCGGCUAACUACGUGCCAGCAGCCGCGGUAAUACGUAGGGUGCAAGCGUUAUCCGGAAUUAUUGGGCGUAAAGAGCUCGUAGGCGGUCUGUCGCGUCUGCUGUGAAAUUCCGAGGCUCAACCUCGGGCUUGCAGUGGGUACGGGCAGACUACAGUGCGGUACGGGAGAUUGUAAAU